AUUGAACGCUGGCGGAAUGCUUUACACAUGCAAGUCGAACGGUAGAGGGGGCAACCCCUUGAGAGUGGCGAACGGGUGAGUAAUAUAUCGGAACGUGCCCAGUCGUGGGGAUAACGUAGCGAAAGUUACGCUAAUACCGCAUACGAUCUAAGGAUGAAAGCGGGGGACUCGCAAGAGCCUCGCGCGAUUGGAGCGGCCGAUAUCAGAUUAGGUAGUUGGUGGGGUAAAGGCUCACCAAGCCAACGAUCUGUAGCUGGUCUGAGAGGACGACCAGCCACACUGGAACUGAGACACGGUCCAGACUCCUACGGGAGGCAGGCCAGGUGGGGAAUUUUUGGGACAAUGGACGCAAGGUCUGAUCCAGCAUUCCGCGUGCAGGAUGAAGGCCUCGGGUUGUAAACUGCUUUGUACGGAACGAAAGGUUUCUA
rnacentral:rRNA from 1 species